rnacentral:rRNA from 1 species
AUUAGCUGGUUGGUGGGGUAACGGCCUACCAAGGCGACGAUCGAUAGCUGGUCUCAGAGGAUGAUCAGCCAGACUGGGACCGAGACACGGCCCAGACUCCUACGGGAGGCAGCAGUUAGGAAUUUUGGGCAAUGGGCGCAAGCCUGACCCAGCAACGCCGCGUGGGUGACGAAGGCCUUCGGGUUGUAAAGCCCUUUUCUGAGGGAAGAUAGUGACGGUACCUCAGGAAGAAGCACCGGCUAACUACGUGCCAGCAGCCGCGGUAAUACGUAGGGUGCGAGCGUUGCCCGGAUUUAUUGGGCGUAAAGGGCGCGUAGGCGGCUCGGCACGUCCGUUGUGAAAUCGCCCGGCUCAACUGGGCGGGGUCGGCGGAUACGGCCGAGCUGGAGCAAGCUAGGGGGUAAUGGAAUUCCCGGUGUAGUGGUGGAAUGCGUAGAUAUCGGGAGGAACACCUGUGGCGAAGGCGGCUUUCUGGGCCUUACCUGACGCUGAGACGCGAAAGCGUGGGGAGCGAACCGGAUUAGAUACCCGGGUAGUCCACGCCGUAAACUAUGGACACUAGGUGUGGGGGGUAUCGACCCCCUCCGUGCCGAAGCUAACGCAAUAAGUGUCCCGCCUG